rnacentral:lncRNA from 14 species
CAAAUACCAAGACAAUAGCUUGCUGGGAGUCAUGUGGUGCCCCAUCCCCGUGCAAACAGCAUUGGGCAGGAGCCCAAAUACAAACUCCUUCCCUCUCUUCCCCCAGGAACUGAAAUUGGUGUUUCCAUCAGGCAUUUCAGCAGUGACCUCAGGUCUAGAGCUCGGAGUGCCACACCAAACCCAUGGGCACAUCAGUGCUGCACGAUGCUGAGAGGACAGCGCAUGUUGAACAGGGCACCAGGACAGCUGAGUGCACUCCAGCACACUGCAAAGCUAUGAUGGAAUAACUGCAGGAAGACACGGAUGCAUGCAUGAGCACAGAUGGAAAAGACAAGUGGAAUGAGCUCCCUGGAACCAGCGGGUGGUGUAUGCUCAGCUGCUCAGAGCAAUAUUCGCCUGGCCUGCUCCCAGCGAGGACAGCUGACAUCAGAGGAGCCAUGGACCAUUCAGCAAGCAGGAGAGCCCACAGCUUGGAUGGUGGACAUCAAAGUGCUACGUAACAUGCAGAUGUUUUCCAUGCAGAGGCUGAGAAAAGUGAUGGCCAAGAUUCUGUAAACCCUGUAAGUCCUAUGCUGUGGGUUUGAGUUCAUUUUCUCCUCACAGCCCUGUUUCCUUGCCUUUUCUUACAUGGAAGCAUGAUGGGUUAUAGCCUCGCCUGAUACAACUUGAUGUGACCCCAUUGACUCCACAGAGUUGUUUACACAGGUUGCAAAUCAUUCCCAUCAAUUUAAAUCUAUGCAGAUUUGCAUCAUGGGGAAUAGUGCUACAUUAUUCUCCAUAGCUAAUAAGCUUCUUAAAAUUAAGAAAAUCAAAUACCCUGGACAUCCAUUACACUUGUAUUUGGAGAUAAGGAUUUCAGAGGAUGCCUUCUCCCACCCUAUCUCAUGGUCCUCAUCCUGCUUCUCUGUUUAUUAGAGGGUCCUCCCAGUGCCAUGUGAGCCAGAGCUGAGUUGCUGGGGACAGUGGCCAUGGAUGUGCCCACAGCUGGAUCUGAUUGACACAUAGUGAUGUUCCCUUUCCAUCUCUGCAGCUAACAGUGUGAAUAUAACCCAUCCCUGAAUCCCCCUUAGCACAGGGCUCUCUUCACUACCACCCAGGCUCUCACAUAUGGGAUGUAGGUAAAAAUCCCUGCUCUGUUUGAUAGAGGGCAGCAAGUCCAAUGCACAGCUCCCUCAACCAGCAAGCUAAUAGCUGUUUUAUAAAGUUCUCCAUCCUUUUCAUUUUCAUUUCAUGCACCAUUUCUGAGGCCUUGCUUUCAUCUUCCUGGGGCAUUAAAACCUAUUUGAAACCUCACCAUUUCCCAUGAAACGAAAUUCUUGCGUCCCCACUUGCCCUAACCAGAAGCCCUGUACGACCAUGUCUGCAAACCACUGUAUUGUGGUAGGACCUUGUGCUGUCCUGCAAGGAACACAGUGAGGUUUCACACUAAACUUCCCUUCAGUAAAUAAGUGCCAGUCUAUACCUACAGCACACAUGGAGACAGACACUUCCCAUCAGGAAGUAGUUUGCUGAGCAGGCGGAGAGCUGCAAACUCAACAGCAACAACUCCUCUGCU